UUACUUCUUGGCACUGUUACGUUUUGUAUAAUGUUAUCUAGAAUCAGCAUAGUCACGAUGCAAUUACAAAUCAUAGUUCUGAUCAUCAUAGUAUUAGUAUUUUGUGAUGCAAGCGAAAAUUUUCUUUAUUUCGUGCACUUUCAGUCAGAUAUUCGAGUAAUUCUUCUGUUGUUAGUAACAUAACCUACUAUUCGUUUCGGGCAUAAAAAUCUUUCCGCGCCCUCACAUAUAAUAUAUUUUGUUUAAUUCUUACGUGUAUAUAUGAAAAGGAAGAUAAGGUGAUAGACAAUAAUAACGAAAUGUAUAAGAGAAGGAAUUAUAGUGUUUCGUAGAUUUUGUAAAUUACAUAAUGUCUACUAAAAUGUGUCGGUAAAUCGGUGUUUCUUUACCGAGAAAUUUAUGUGAGAUAUCGGAAAGUAAACAGUGAUUUUUCAUACGAGCGGUUUUAUUUUCAUGCUAUACAUGUAAAUUCGUAAAACUAAGGAUGAGAGAUUCAUAAUAGUCUAAAUAAAUUUCUUAUAACCACGUUUUUAUGCAUCAGAACUGUCAGCUGUUUCUAGCAGACGACUUAGCUGCCGUCUGCUACUGACGUUAGUCAUAUUACAACUGUAAAACAGUAUUGUGUUAAAAAAUUUAGUAAUUCAUAUAAAAAAUAUUACAAAAAAUCAUAUUUUAUAUUAUAAUUUACUAUUUUUACCAUAACAUCGUAUUAUUAUAUUUACAAUGUUGUUUAAACAUUAUAUCGACAAUAUAAGCGGCGUAAGACCGCGAAACGCAUGCGCAAUAGUCAAAUUUAACUUUUUCGUUCAUGUUCUGUGUAAUGCGAACAUUGAAGAUCACUAAACUAUAUUAAAUCAUUAUUAUAUCGAAAGAAACAAAUACAAAACAUUAUUUAAAAUUAAUAAUAUCAUUAAUAAUAAUAAUUUCAUGCAUUGGGAACAUUAAUAUUCCAUUUGAACAAUUUCUAUUCGCGCUUCAAUUUCUAAGUGUCUUAGCAAUCUCUAACGAAAGUUUUCUAUAAAUCGUUCUACGAACGGCAAAAUGAAUUGCACGACUUUCUCUGUUCGAAAGUGACACAGAGACCGGAUUUUGAAAUCUCUUUCAAUACCUGGCAAAUCGAAGACACGAGUUCGGCACGUCGGCGAUGUCGUCCAUAAUUAUUACGCAAGUCUUAGGUAAAUUGUGACUCGUUGGUUGGGCGCUGAUCGCAUAGGAAACCUUUCCUUAGAUUUCAUGGGCCAUUGCUGGGCAGUAUUAUCGAAAUAAGUGAGAACCGGUCAUGAUGACAUCGAGUCUGGGCGAAUUUCAAGUCUUCGUAAGUAGGCUAACUGGCCCGUCAGAUAUCCUUCUUCGAGCAUGGUUAACCCAUGGAAUCCACGUUCUUGACUUUCUCGGCUUGUUCGGUGUAGUAUUCUACGUAGAUAUAUAAAUGUUGGCUCUUACUUACUGAUUCUUCAAUCAAGUAUUUACGCUUCUUGUAAGACUUCCUUCAAAUCCAGAAUGCUUUAAAUUUAAUUAUUUCUUUGACUAUAUUGGAUUAAUUAGAUUAACAUAAAUAAGUUCGGUUAUAAUAAAGGAAAUGUAUUGAAUUUAACUGAACUUACUUAUGUUAUAACCCAAUAGUCAUUGUAUGUUAUUUAUUGAUUAGAGUUUUAUCUGUCACGUCCUAUUUAGUUGCCGCGUUCGGUAGCGUUAACUGACGUUUAAUGCAACUGGAAAUAAGUUCCACUUUCGGCUAACCUGCUAUGUGCGGGAAUACUGGCACGGGAGAGGAUUAAAGUUGUUCGAAAGUAAAUUAACAAUAUGUAAUGAUUUAUUCAAAACUUACUCGAUGUCGAUAUUGACAAUUGACUGACAGACUGACGGAUAUAAAAUUCUUCGGUUGACAAAAUGAUAACUAACUCUUCGAUAGACAAAAUGACAACUAACUUUCCGAUAGACAAUGGUAAUUAUUCGGUUGAUGAACGGUAAUUAAUUAUUACUCGAUAGACGAACGGUAAUUAAUUAUUCGAUAAACGAAUGGUAAUUAUUGUUACUGACUUCUUUGAGUCGCUACAUUUAUUUAUAUCUGUCGGAGAUGAAAAAACAUCGGGGUCUUUCUUCUGAAAAUGUUUAGGAAGAUCUCCAACGUUUGUUCAAACUGCCGACUUUGUUUACAGUUUAAAUUGUCUUAAUAUCGUUAUAGAAACAUAGUUAGGUAAAUAUAGAAACAUAGUUAGAUAAGUUUUCGCAAGAUAUAGCUUUUAGCAGCUUUAACUGCCUUUCACUUCAAAUACUGUAAACACGGUUUCAAAUAAACGUUUUAAAUUAUCUUGAUUUGAAAGAAAUUACCAAUUUUACUUUCGCGCUACGGAUCGCGCGGGGCGCGGGACGUGACAUUAUCAUUGCUAAUGUAAUGAUUCAUUACAGUAUAACAAUAUGAAUUACAGGGACUUUUUAGGUAGAUUUUUUAUUAUCGUCCGAUUUAUGGAUGUUUUUAAUAAUAUAGACAUUGCAUUAAUUAUUCAAACAUUAUAGAUACAGAUGAAUGAUGAGUAGAGUCGAAUUUUAUUUACUACCAUCUACAAGUCUCUAUGUUUUUAUACACCUUAAUGGUAAUAAUCAUUAUUUGUGUUGUUGUUAUAGUAUUGAAAUAGUAUCACAACAAUGAGAAUCGAUUUUACCGUGACUUAUCGAUAAUAUCGUCGAAGAUCCUUUUAUUGACUGAAACGAGUAUUAGCCAUAGAGUUAGACUAACAAAUUUCGCAAAUGCAAAUGUAAGGUCAUUAACAUUGGUUCGAUUUGCAAAUCCUAUUUCCCAAUGGUCGUCACUCUCCAUAUCUUGCGUACAAUAAGGGAGAUUUCCUUCAUUGACGCACGGCGUCUAUGCUUUUGGCAUUCUACUCUCGUGAACAUUGCACGUGUGUACGCACGCACAGGAAUGCAUGAAUAGUUUUACAAUGCGAUUAUUGUUAAAUUACUGCGCACUGCAUUGGAUGAGCCAGCCAAUAAAUUAACAUAGAGAACCUACGUCGGCUUUUUUGAUUCGUUCGGCCUAAUUUCAUUACACAUACAUGCCAUUAAUUAGCUGUAGUAAAUUCAUAUUAUAUUGUACGAAGAAUGGGAAAAUUGAUACAAAUAUAUUUCUUUAAACAUUUCUUUAACUAUAGAAAUGCUUCCUGUAAAUGUAUAAUGUCUUAUUUCAUGUUGUUUAUGUCAAUGUUAUAUCUGACUACUUCUUUUGUAUAUACUGUCCAGCUUCACAUGUUAAGGCCAUUGGCGAUCGAUGCCAUGUUAAGGUCAUUCACUUGCAAAUAAAAUUGUAAAGUUUCCAAGGCACAUUUCGAAAACGAGCCACCAAUCUACAUACCAAAACACGUAGAAUUUAUAGAAUUAAACGCGAUUUCCGCUCCGUGAAACUAUGUACGUUACAAUUAGCCAAUCGUUAAUAGUAUUUUAAUAACGAGGUACUUAUGGAAAGCAUCGAUACGUUGAAAUUAGUAGAGCACGUUGGCCAUGGGUGUUGCGUGGCGUGAAUUUCCUAGAAGGAUAUAAGAAACAUUCCGGGAUGUUGCUCAAUAGAAACUAAUUACAUAUUCCCUGGGGGGACUGUCAUUUGGGGCGGAAGACUAGUCACCUUACACCUGCGACGAUAGUGACGUAUUCUGAUGUAGUGUACAAAUUAGAUUAGUGUACAAAUCACGUUCAUAAUUCAUAAGUACUGGGACAUUCACAAAAACUAAGGGAAACCUCGAAAGGGCAAUAGAAAAAUCUGCGAUUAUCUUUUCUGGGAUCGUUUUUGGAAUCAUUCGAUAUAAAGAAUUGAUUGUAGUAAAAUAAAAUCUAUUUGUUGUAAUAAAAUAACAGCCUCGUGUAAUAACAUUUUCAUCAAUUCUAUUUAAAAACAAUGAAAUCCUUUCUGAUCUAUA